AAUGAUGCGUUGACUAGGGAAGAGUAAACGACUUGUCACUACUUAGAGAGAAAAGCAUUUGCUGAAAGCUUUUUUAGGACAUGAGUUGAAGGUAGCCUUGCGAGCAAAUAGAAUGAUGACCCUAAACGGUUGCCAUAAACUAUUCGGAGAUAUCUCCGUUACAAAAAAUGAGAAGCAGGCUUAUUCAGUCUGUAAACUUAGGUGGUACCGCGAUAAAAUCGUCCUACAU
rnacentral:ncRNA from 1 species